GAUGAACGCUAGCGGGAGGCCUAACACAUGCAAGCCGAGCGGUAUUGUUUCUUCGGAAAUGAGAGAGCGGCGUACGGGUGCGUAACACGUGUGCAACCUGCCUUUAUCUGGGGGAUAGCCUUUCGGAAGGAAGAUUAAUACUCCAUAAUAUAUUGAACGGCAUCGUUUAAUAUUGAAAGCUCCGGCGGAUAGAGAUGGGCACGCGCAAGAUUAGCUAGUUGGUGAGGUAACGGCUCACCAAGGCGAUGAUCUUUAGGGGGCCUGAGAGGGUGAUCCCCCACACUGGUACUGAGACACGUACCAGACUCCUACGGGAGGCAGCAGUGAGGAAUAUUGGUCAAUGGGUGCAAGCCUGAACCAGCCAUCCCGCGUGAAGGACGACUGCCCUAUGGGUUGUAAACUUCUUUUGUAUAGGGAUAAACCUACCCUCGUGAGGGUAGCUGAAGGUACUAUACGAAUAAGCACCGGCCAACUCCGUGCCAGCCGCCGCGGUAA
rnacentral:rRNA from 1 species